GAAGAGUCAUGGUUUUCACGCAAAAUCUAUCGCUUCAGAUGGAAUUCCUCCUGGUUUAUUGAGGGAAAAAGGGUGGACACUUUAUGCUAGCACUCCCCGCAACUACCAAUUAAGCCAAGCUUUAGGCUCAAAUGAUUCCUUGCGUUCCAAGCUACCAAAUUUCAAUUUUCCAAUUUUGAAUGAUUGUUCUGAAUCAGUGGUUGUUGGAAAGUGGUAUUGUCCUUUUAUGUUUGUUAAGGAAGGAAUGAAUUUAAAAGAGCAAAUGAAGAUGUCAAUGUUCUAUGAGCUAACACUUGAGCAAAGAUGGGAGAAGAUAUUUUCAAAGGAAAAUAGUGGAGAAGGUGGUGUGGUUGUAGAUGUUGCUAUUCAAACAGAAGUUGCUAAGGUUGAAGGAAAGGAUGCUGUUUGGGAUGAAAAUAGAUUGGUUGAUGGAGUUUUGUGGUUUAAGAGUGUUGAAAAGAAAAGUGUUGGAUUGAGUUUGGAAGUUGUUGAGGCAAUGAAAUGGGAACAAAGAAGGUUUGGAUGGAAUGCUGGGAAUGGAAGACAAGUGAGAGUAACAAAAGUUGAAGAGUUUGAUGGAACAAACAAAUGGAAGAAAUUUAGUAGUUAUGUGUUGGUUGAAAGUUAUUCAUUGAGGAGAAUGGAUUCAAAAUUGGUUCUUACUUAUGAUUAUAGACACUCACAUCAAAUUAGGAGCAAAUGCGAAUGAUGAUUUUCUCAAACAUUUGUUUACUUUAAACUUUCUUCUGAUUUGUUCACUUCAAUAUUUUGUUCUUGUUAUUCAUUAUUAUAUUAUGUACAGCUCAUUUAUGUAUACUAAUAGUUGAUGUUAGAGCCCACAUAUUUUGGCUCCUUUAUUUUGUGUAUGCAAGUAAAUAUGAAAGGGUACUCCGAUCCAUGCAAACUACUAUCCCAUAUAAUCAUUAUUAGUUCUCUUUUGUUUGUUUUUUUUUUCCAUAAGAAAGAAUCAAGUUAUCAACUGGCCGAACUUGUAUAAUCCUUUUUCACUAACUAUAUUAAUUAGAUUGGAUAGCCACUUUGGUUCAAAACAUCAAAAGAAAUUCACAUCACAAAAUUGCACUAAUUCAGCAAUGGCUGAUCACCACUCAAAUUCAAUGUGUUUGUAGAUUAUGUUUUAGUUUUAGAUCCUCAACUAUAAGCAUCAUUUGUAGUGAAAAUUAUCAUAUGGUCCCCCCCUCCUCCCUCCCUCCGUCCCUCUCUCUCUCUCUCCAUAUAUAUGCAAAUUAGAGCAAAACACUUGGGUCAUGAUACAAAUCUAACUCAUUCUUGGUUUAAACCUUCUCUUGGCACUAUUUGGUGUAAUAUUGAUUGUGCCUCUUUCAAUAACAAUUUCAUUACGUGGUAUGAAAUUAUGUCCUAGAGAAUCAGCGAGACAGUUUCUUCUCCAUGGUCAAUAUGAUUGGAUGUGCUGCAAUGUCACCACCAUAGAAGCUGAAGUUGUAGGCUUCAAGAAGCUAUCAAAGUGGCAAUUUCUAGAGAUAUGCAAAUAUAGUAGUGUUCAAAUUGGAUUGUAAGCCGGUUGUGUGGAUGCCAUCUCUCUUCCUUGUAUUCCGUUCAUUCGUUUGGAGGUAAGAAAAUAAGGUAUUUUAUAACAUUGUUAGAGUCUCCUUAUGUCUCACUAAUCCCCAUAAUUUGUAUGACGUACCACAUACUUUAUACUACAUCCGUCUCUAAUUAUAAGACUCUUUUGAAUUUUUUUCUUUGUUCCUUUUUAUAGGAUCCUCUUGAAUCUUCAUUUAUCAUCUUUCCAAGUACCACACAAAUCUUCUGAUGUCUUUGCUUUGCCGAUUUGCAUGAUUUCUUCUUGAAUUACAUCAAAAACACCAUAAAAUUGCUAUAUUUCAAAAAUACAUGCAUAUUAAAUGUGACACCGUCAUGAAAAUAUUCCACCAUACGUAUACGCAUUUGACACCAUUACUCAAAAUACAUUACCAACAGGGCCAGCCCUAGUCAAGUGCAACCAGCCCCUUGGCACAGGGACUCACACUUAGAGGGGCAUCAAAAUUAAAAAAAAGGAAAAAAUACUUGUACCUACGGACAAAAUCCGUCACUAAAUGUUCCGUAGGUAAAUGUUUGGAAGACAACAAUUAUGAUGUCAAUUAUGAAUUGUCCAUAAGUAAAGAUCUAUUUAUCCUUAGCUAAAAGUCAUGUUUGAACCCUUGCUUAUAUAUUUAACUACAAUUUAAUUGUCUAUUACUAUAAACAGUGUUGGAUUUUUUUUACAAUUCUUUUUAAAUGAAAAUUGUCAAGUCUGUAACUGGACCUCCGAAUUAUCAGGAACGAUUAAGAUUACCGCCUUAAGUUUAAGUUACGAAAAUUAGAAAUAUUUGAGUUCAAGAAUCAGAAUAGUCAAUGAAAUAUUGUUAGAAAGGACCAAGUCAAUACACAAUGGAUUUUUUGUAUUGAACCAACCGAAUAUUCUAUGAAAAAUUCUAUUAGGCGACAAUGACAAUAUGUACGUGGAGCAUAUGUAAAGAAGAUAUAACCAGCACACGGUUUAUCAUGAAUUAAACCAUGUCUUAUUUUUAAUUAGUCACUACCUAACAAAUGAAAAUUCUACGUUCAAACUAGAUGUUUGACAAUUGAUGUAACAUGGAUAAGAAAUACUCCCUCCGUCCCUAUAUAUAAGACCCUUUUGCCAAAAUCAUGGGAAUUAAGAUAGUGGAUAUUUGUAUUAAAGUUGUUUGUAAUCACUAUUGUUUUUACAAUUUUAUCCUUUAAGAAAGAAGGUUAGUUUAUGUUUUCAACAUGUUAUUUAUUGUUGAUUGAAGGAAAAAAUGUAUAAUAAAUAGGGGCAUGUAUGUAAAUAAAUAAUUAAUGUAGUUGGAAAUAACAAAGGGAUCUUAUAAAAAAGGACAAAAAAAAUUCUCAAAAGGGUUUUAUAAUUAGGGACGGAGGGAGUAUGAAGUAUAUAAGGAUACACCUACAUUCAUAAACAUAAACAUUGUUUAAUAUCCUCUCAAAAAUAUCAUAGUUUAAUUUAUAAAUCGGUGAAAAUGUAUGCAACAAGACUUCUUUCCAUGUACAAAAGGAAUCCUAGUGCUCUUUCAGAUCCACCACCAUCAGGACCAAAUUCAAGUUAUCUUGUGAUAUUGGAUGAAGUAGCUCAAACUUACUCUUGUUUUGGUUUGUCAAAAGACAAUAGAAUCAAGAAUUUUCCUUUACCUCAGAACAAAAAUUUAACCAUCAAUUUAUCAGCAGGUGAAAGCACCUUUUUGGAAGAAGCUAUGUUCAUUCCAGUAUUGAAUCAACCAUUGUCUUCUAAUCGCUACUAUGUUAUAAGAAGGGAGGGGAAAUAUCAAGGGUAUGUAUUUAUUUAAUUUUAAUCAUUUUCUCGUAAUUUUUGUACAAGUUUUUCCCUGUCAUCCCAACUGAGAGUAUUGUAAUAUGAGACAUAAUUAUAUUUGUGUUGGUAAUUAUCUUUCAUGGUUAAAGAAAGAGAAAAGAUAGAUUCAUAAAGUAAUAGUGGUUCUUUCAAAAUUAAUUGUUAAAUUUGAAUUGAUUUCAGCCAAGCUAGUACAAGUUCAAAGGAAGAGGACAAGACCACAUGUUUAUGUUGUAGUUUUGUCCAUGAUGUUAAACCAAGAGCUUUGAAGCCCUUCAAUGAUUAUCAGCAGUUUGAAAUAAUCAAGAAGAGUUAUGGUUUUCAAGCAAAAUCUAUCGCUUCAAAUGGAAUUCCUCCUGGGUUAUUGAGGGAAGAAGGGUGGGCACUUCAUGCUAGCACUCCCCGCAACUACCAAUUAAGCCAAGCUUUAGGUUCAAAUGAUUCCUUGCGUUCCAAGCUACCAAAUUUCAACUUUCCAUUGACUUAUGAUCAUUCUGGAUCAGUGAUUGUUGGAAACUGGUAUUGUCCUUUUAUGUUUGUGAAAGAAGGAAUGAAUUUAAAGGAGCAGAUGA
rnacentral:lncRNA from 1 species